rnacentral:rRNA from 1 species
CGGACGGGUGAGUAACGCGUAGGAAUCUACCUGGUAGUGGGGGACGAACAUGGGGAAACCCAACUGCUAAUACCGCAUACGCCCUACUGGGGGAAAGGACGGGGGACCGUUCGGGCCGUCGCGCUAUCAGAUGAGCUGCGUAGGAUUAGCUUGUUGGUGAGGUAAAGGCUCACCAAGGCGACGAUCCUUAGCUGGUCUGAGAGGAUGAUCAGCCACUCUGGAACUGAGACACGGUCCAG